GGAUUAGAUACCCUGGUAGUCCUAGCUGUAAACGAUGGAUGCUAGACGUAGGAACUGGAUUGACGGUUUCUGUGUCGCAGCUAACGCUUUAAGUUGUCCGCCUGGGGAGUACGGCCGCAAGGUUAAAACUCAAAUGAAUUGACGGGGACCCGCACAAGCGGUGGAGCAUGUGGUUUAAUUCGAUGCAACGCGAAAAACCUUACCUACACUUGACAUACUUCGAAUUUUCUAGAGAUAGAUUAGUGCCUUCGGGAACGGAGAUACAGGUGCUGCAUGGCUGUCGUCAGCUCGUGUCG
rnacentral:rRNA from 1 species